rnacentral:rRNA from 1 species
AUUGAACGCUGGCGGCAGGCCUAACACAUGCAAGUCGAGCGGAUGAAGGGGGCUUGCUCCUGGAUUCAGCGGCGGACGGGUGAGUAAUGCCUAGGAAUCUGCCUGGUAGUGGGGGAUAACGUCCGGAAACGGGCGCUAAUACCGCAUACGUCCUGAGGGAGAAAGUGGGGGAUCUUCGGACCUCACGCUAUCAGAUGAGCCUAGGUCGGAUUAGCUAGUUGGUGGGGUAAAGGCCUACCAAGGCGACGAUCCGUAACUGGUCUGAGAGGAUGAUCAGUCACACUGGAACUGAGACAGGGUCAAGACUCCUACGGGAGGCAGCAGUGGGGAAUAUUGGACAAUGGGCGAAAGCCUGAUCCAGCCAGGCCGCGUGUGUGAAGAAGGUCUUCGGAUUGUAAAGCACUUUAAGUUGGGAGGAAGGGCAGUAAGUUAAUACCUUGCUGUUUUGACGUUACCAACAGAAUAAGCACCGGCUAACUUCGUG